GUUUGAUCCUGGCUCAGGAUGAACGCUGGCGGCGUGCUUAACACAUGCAAGUCGAACGAAGCACUUUAUUUGAUUUCCUUCGGGAUUGAUUAUUUUGUGACUGAGUGGCGGACGGGUGAGUAACGCGUGGGUAACCUGCCUUGUACAGGGGGAUAACAGUUGGAAACGGCUGCUAAUACCGCAUAAGCGCACAGCAUCGCAUGAUGCAGUGUGAAAAACUCCGGUGGUAUAAGAUGGACCCGCGUUGGAUUAGCUAGUUGGUGAGGUAACGGCCCACCAAGGCGACGAUCCAUAGCCGACCUGAGAGGGUGACCGGCCACAUUGGGACUGAGACACGGCCCAAACUCCUACGGGAGGCAGCAGUGGGGAAUAUUGCACAAUGGGCGAAAGCCUGAUGCAGCGACGCCGCGUGAGCGAAGAAGUAUUUCGGUAUGUAAAGCUCUAUCAGCAGGGAAGAUAAUGACGGUACCUGACUAAGAAGCACCGGCUAAAUACGUGCCAGCAGCCGCGGUAAUACGUAUGGUGCAAGCGUUAUCCGGAUUUACUGGGUGUAAAGGGAGCGCAGGCGGUGCGGCAAGUCUGAUGUGAAAGCCCGGGGCUCAACCCCGGUACUGCAUUGGAAACUGUCGUACUAGAGUGUCGGAGGGGUAAGCGGAAUUCCUAGUGUAGCGGUGAAAUGCGUAGAUAUUAGGAGGAACACCAGUGGCGAAGGCGGCUUACUGGACGAUAACUGACGCUGAGGCUCGAAAGCGUGGGGAGCAAACAGGAUUAGAUACCCUGGUAGUCCGCGCCGUAAACGAUGAAUACUAGGUGUUGGGAAGCAUUGCUUCUCGGUGCCGUCGCAAACGCAGUAAGUAUUCCACCUGGGGAGUACGUUCG
rnacentral:rRNA from 1 species